ACAAAAAUCAACACUUAAACAAAACCUAAUUCAUCCACCGAUCCAUACGAACCCUUUAAAAAAACCGCAAAGACAAUGCACCCGUACAAAAAACCGAAUAAAAUAUCGCCUCACGUAGCGAAUGGAGCCUUAUGCAAACUUAGGCCACUCCCCCCCUAACACGCCCACGUGAAACCUUCCAUCACUUUCCCGCACGACCAUUUUCCUAUUUCCCUCUCGCACGGAUGCACAACCGCCUACGCGUUUUCAGCCAAGCGUUUUUAGUUGUCGUAAAGACAUCGCGCGAGUCCGUCGUCUAGAAAACCGUCGGGGGCACAAAAAACACCGCAAAAAAAACCGGAAAAAAACCCCCGCCAUUUUUUAUGCCGGUUUUUCCCAACACUAUUAGUGGCGCGUGUGUGUCUAUCCUUUUUUUGACUGUGGCUUUUUGAGUGAUGUGCGUGCUAGUGUUGUUUGUUUUUGUUUGUGAAGAUGCCACCAGAAGGACAUCCGGACGAAGUUAUGUAUAAUGUUGACAGAAUUACAUUUAUUAUAUUAUUUAUAUUUAAAUGUACUUAGUGCAAUAGUUGAUUAUAUGUAAAUUAUUGAUUAAAUCAAAAAGAAAAUAUAAAUUAUUAAAAAAAGCAAGUUGUUAAACGGGUUCAGUGUAAUAAAUUGUUUAUCAUUAAAAUAAUUUAGAUACAAUACGAUUAAAUAAAUUAAA
rnacentral:lncRNA from 1 species